UACACACCGCCCGUCACACCAUGGGAGCGGGUUCUGCCAGAAGUAGUUAGCCUAACCGCAAGGAGGGCGCUUACCACGGUGUGGCCAAUGACUGGGGUG
rnacentral:rRNA from 1 species